rnacentral:lncRNA from 1 species
GCAGCUGGUGCUAUUGUAGAUGUAAGCUUUUUCCUUCAUCUUUUAUUCAUUGUUUUACUGUUUUUUGUGGUUUUUAUGUAUACAUGUGUUAUAAUGAACUAUGCAUGUAAUUAUAAUGACCUAUACAUGUGUUAUGGUCCCGCAUCUACAUUUCUUUUAGAAAAGUUUGGCUUUAUGGUACGUUUUGUACGUUUGGUCCAAUUUUUUGUUAGGUGCUUUAAAAGUUGUUUUAAAAAUUAAACAAAAAGUAACAUAUGAUUGGUUUUAGUGGGAAUAAGAUAUGGGUAGUUAUGAUUAGGACUUUGAUCUGAUUAUUAGGUUUGAGUGGUACCAGGUUUGGCACUUUAAAGCAUCAUUAUAUAAUACAAGUGAAGUCAUAUAAAAAUAGGAAAAAACAUAACCGAACCCUUUCUCUUUGGCUCAUUGGCUCAUUGGCUCUUCAUCUCUUUCUCUUUUUCUUAAUUAGAUGCUUAUUACCAUUUCACCCUUCUUCCUACCCUUUUAUAUACCAACCAAAACCGAACCUUCCCUUCACUUUCUCACACACAAUUCCCUUCACUUUCUCACACACAAGCAUUACCCAUAAUUAUCUUCUUAAUUUGUUUCUUCACAAGCAUCCACAUAUCACAGAACAUAGACAAAGAGAGUAAAAUCAGAGCAAAAACCACAAGGCAGACGCAGAGAAAGAGAGUAAAAUCAGAAAGCAAAGCAAAAACCACAAGGCAGCUCAAAAAUCAGUAGACUCAGUAAUUUGUGAGCGAGCACAUAGUAAUUCUUCUUCCUUCAGUUGAGUUUUUUUUAAGUUGGUAGAAUUUUUUUACAUUUUAAAUUUAGAAUCUUCUAAAGAUGGCCUCUUCUCCAACCUUCACCCUUCCCAUUUUUAUUUUUAUUUCCAUGUUAUUCUGCCCAGCACCGUCCGUCGCGUCUGGCCUCAAUGUCAGUGAGGUCAUGACGAAACUAACAGCGGUGGGGGCG